CUCAUCAGUCAUCACCCACCGCCUCCGCCGCCGACAACAGCGUAGUGUAGUGUAGUUCCGCCUAUAGAUUCCCCUCUUUCAUGGAUUUUGAUCCAAUCGUAAUAUUGUCAGUAGCUCUAGAUUCGUCGGUAGCUCCAGCAUGAGUGUCGGUGGUAGUUCUGUGCCUGUAAAAACUUGGGAUAGUUGAUCGCGUGUGAUCAGCCGUCAUGCUCCUCCAGUCUCUAUGAACAAGCUAAGCUAUAAUAGUAUUUUGCUAUCCUAUGAUCCCCGGGUUGUUGG
rnacentral:lncRNA from 7 species